CUACUUUCUUUUGGGGAAAUUUGGUUGGAAACCUUGGCGUCCUAAGCUCCUUCCUGGCCAGGCCUACUCCAUGUGCUGUCACAGUCAUCCAAUGUGGUUCACAACAUGGAAAUCUGCCGUUGCAGCUAUUUCCCAGCACCCACGCCUCACAGUACCGGGUAAAUGGUAAUGUCAGCGCAUCCUCCUUUCUGAACCUGCCCUCUCCCCCCCCCUGCAUGUGGAAGGAUGAGCAGAGUCUGGGUGGGCUAAUCCCCAUUGUGCUAAUCGGAGCGUCGCCUGUGGGAUGGCCCCAAAUUGAUUGGUUGAAAAAGACAGCUUCAAAGAUGCAAUUCUGAGGUGAAGCCGCAAGGUGGAGUAUGCGCGAGCAGAUAAGCCCUCUUGCACUGUUCUCUGCCUCCUGUGCCUCGCUACUGAACUGAUAAGUGCUUCGCUCUGUGUUACAAUUCCAAUCUAAAUGACUUUCAAGGUUCCAUUUUGAUAUACUGAGAUUGGCUGGCAAACAGUUGGGGUGUACACUAAAGUGAGCUGGGUAGACACCAGCACUUGGAUGGAUAACUUUGAUAUGAUUGUCCACUAGGGGUCUCAAUCACCAAUUUCAUGCAGAUACGAUGAGAUUUUGAUUACAAUAUUUGCCUAAGGCGCAAAACACAAACAAGACUGAAAAAGCAGUUUCUAGUUUAAGCCAAAAGAACAGUUGUGUUUGAUAGAACAAUAUGUCUAUAUGCUGCCAUAGCAGAUUCUUGGCGCAUUAAGCCCUCGAGCUAUUUUUAAUUUGUCCGUUUUACCCCGGAACCCAGCUUACAGACGUCGUGCAACCGCUUUUGUUUCAACUCAGCCAUAAAAAGAAGGGAAGUAAUUAUAUUUAUUAUUCAAAAUGUCUGUCAUUUUUAGAAUAGAAUCAUCAAUUGACGUCUAAUAAUUCGUAAAAAAAAAUUCACUUGCAUAUUUUAAACUUUCAAACAAAUUACGUCACAAUGAAAAAAAAAAUGGUGUCUGUAAAUAAGUCACGUACCUUAUCUACCUCAUAACUAUCGCUUAAUUGUAUUUGUUUUGUUACUGUCGCAUUUUCCUUCAUGUGUUAGAUGAUAAAAGAUCCAAACAAAGAAAAAUUGAGAGAAAAAUAAAUAAAUAAAUAAAUAAAUAAACGUUUAAAAGGGUAAAUAUAUGAAAAAUAACAUCUCGACCACUCCUUGAUGUCUGCGAUUUCUGCAUCACGACCCUUGUUAUAUUACCGUGUUUCACCAAUGAAAUCCCCCCCAAAAUCCGGCUGUGGCCAUUCACAGCUGUGUGUUGACACUCGGUGAUACAUGCCACAUGGAAUUUUUGGAUCAAAACAAGGUAAGUACGCGAUAAUAUCUUGUUAAAGUCAUGGCGUCUGUAAUUCUGCUCUCGCGUGAUCUCACCUCCAGUUAGGGUUUUGCUAUUUAAUUUUUAUUUUUAUUAUUUUUUUAAAUGCCAUCCUAUUCAAAAAAUUUCUUCACCCAGAAAAUUGAGAUUUAAAGCUUUCCAAUGAUGUAUCACACGUGCAUAUCCGACAAUUUUGAAAUUUGGCAAAAUUGGGGGUCUCAGAGCGGAACUUAAAGUCACCUGAGUGUUUUCCGCCAUAUAGUAUAUAUGGCGGAAAACACAGACAGGACUGAAAAAGCAGUUUCUGCUCUUGCACUCCUCUUUAAAAGAAACUGCAGUAUUUUAAGCCCAAAAAACUGUUGUGUUUGAUAGAACAAAAUGUCUAUAUGCUGCCAUAGCAGAUUCAUGGCGCAUUAAGCCCCCGAACUAUUUUUUAUUUGUCCCUUUUACCCUGAAAACCCCCGUUUACAGACGUCGCGCAACCGCUUUUGUUUCAACCUAGCCAUAAAAAGAAGGUAAGUAAUUAUAAUUUUUAUUAAAAAUGUCUGUCAUUUACUGCUUGGAAUCAAUAAUUGAUGUCUAAUAUUUAGUUAAAAAAUAAAAAAUAAAAAAAAAACACUUUAAGAAAUUAUUCACUCGCAUAUUUUAAACUUUUAAACAAAUUAUGUCACAAUGAAAAAUUUGGCGUCUGUAAAAUAAAUCACAGAUAUCUACCUCAUAACUAUCGCCUAAUUGUAUAUUUUGUUGUUGAUGUCAUAUGGUAUUUUCCCUGAUAUGUUAGAUGAUAAAUAAUCAAUUCAAACGAAGAAAAAUUGGGAAAGAAAAAAAAAAACAUCUCAACCACUCCUUGUUGUCUGCGAUUUCUGCAUCACGACCCUUGUUAUAUCACUAUGUGUCACCCAUUAAAAAAAAAAAAAAAAAAAAAUCCAGCUGUGGCCAUUCACAGCUGUGUCUUGACACUUGGUGAUACAUGCUACAUGGAGUUUUUGGAUCGAAACAAGCAAAGUACGCGAUAAUAUCUCGUUAAAUUCGUGGUGUCUUUAAUUCUGCUCUCGCGUGCUCUCGCCUCCAAUUAGGGUUUUGCUGUUUAAAUUUUUUUUUUUUUUGUACAGAAAAAAAAACACCCACCUGUUCAAAAU